CUCCUUUACACAGGUUUUGAUAAAACUCACUCAUGGUACCUCUAUCCCAGUUACUGUGAAUCCUGGUGUCUUCGGAGAGUUGAUAGGCCUCCAUACACAUGAAAUGGUCGUCAGACCCUGGCAAAAGUUUUUAGAAGGAAAUGGGCAGCACUGACUGAAAUGUAGGGUGGUGCAUGCUGGAACAACUCGGUCGAAAGUCCAAUAAAUCCAAUAAAGAAAGAGUGCUGCUGAUUACUUUACUGUAUCUAUCUAUCUAUCUGUUCAUCUAUUCUGUGUUUUGGCUACCUGAUGCAUACGACACAUCAAAAAAGUUAUAACAGAGAACACACUGCAAUAUCCUAGGAAGCUGCACCAAAUAACAAACCCAUCUUUGCUACAUCUGUACAAAUACCGUACAUAAGCACAAUCUGAAAUCCAUGGGUAAGAAAACCACCCUUUAUGAAUAAAACAUAGCUGACCUUUAAAAACUUUGCCGUUGUACCAGGUGAUUGCAUAUUAACAAGCUUUUUGAAGAAAUAGGACAGGAACGGGGAAUUUCAGUUAAAUUCAGAUAAUAGUACUAUUGAAGUCAUUUAUUAUUCCGCACAAUAAAGAGGAUGUAACAAGUGCUACAACAAGCGUCCAUUCAAAUUCACUUGCAUAUGAUUUUGAGAAAAAGUCCCAGUUAUAUUCCUAAAGUGAC